GAGCCUAAAACCAAUGAAAUUACUGACGUUUAUUUCGAUUAAACAUGUAUACGUAAUAUUUUCAAACACAUUUGAAAAGUAUAUUUCACGUUUUUACCCUAGUCUGCAGAGUAAUAGAAAUAUUAUUAUACGCGUAAUCGUGAACUAUUAUCAUAAGCCAGUGAGUGAAUUAUUGUAGAUGUUAAUUUUAGCUAACUGUUAUUAAACACGCGUACACGGGAAACGCAAAUUUUAAAUGUUCGUAUAACAAUGGUCAAGGUUAAGAGAGGAACUACCGCAGAAAAUAAUGCCAAAAAAAUAAUUUUUAAAAAUCGAAUAUUAAACACAGGGUUUUACUGUCUUAACUUAUAAAUAACAUAUUGCUUUAUUAAUAUGUUUACUUUAGAUUCUAAAUGUGUCAAAUAAGCUAUUACAGUUUUACCAAGUGAUAUCUUAUUAUCUCUUAAAAAAACAUAAAAACGCCAUAUUUCAAAUAUGACAUAUUGUAUUUUGGACAUUUUUUUAGAU